AGCGAACGCUGGCGGCAGGCCUAAUACAUGCAAGUCGAGCGCACCUUCGGGUGAGCGGCGGACGGGUGAGUAACGCGUGGGAACGUGCCCUUUGGUACGGAACAACUGAGGGAAACUUCAGCUAAUACCGUAUGUGCCCUUCGGGGGAAAGGAUUUAUUCGCCAUUGGAGCGGCCCGCGUUGGAUUAGGUAGUUGGUGAGGUAAAGGCUCACCAAGCCUACGAUCCAUAGCUGGUCUGAGAGGAUUAUCAGCCACACUGGGACUGAGACACGGCCCAGACUCCUACGGGAGGCAGCAGUAGGGAAUCUUGCGCAAUGGGCGAAAGCCUGACGCAGCCAUGCCGCGUGAAUGAUGAAGGUCUUAGGAUUGUAAAAUUACUUUCACCGGGGAAGAUAAUGACGGUACCCGGACGAAGAAGCCCCGGCUAACUUCGUGCCAGCAGCCGCGGUAAU
rnacentral:rRNA from 1 species